AAAAAGAUAAGCUAAGUUUAAGCUAAUGGACUCAUAAUCCAUCUAUGGGCCUAUGGCCCUCUUUUUA
rnacentral:tRNA from 1 species